CCCCCAUCCCAGAGCCUCACCCUGUCCCGUCUCCUGUCCCCAUUCCCAGACCAGUCCCAGCUGGAGGAGCUGGUUCGUGAGCAGCCUAAGUCCCAUUCUCCGCCUCCGUCAUGAUACUCAAGCCGACCCCCGGGCCCUAGGAAGUAGGCGUCUUUAUGGCCGUUUACGGAUGAGAAGACCAAGGCUCGUGGUGACUGAACAACUCCUCGGAGCCCCAGAUUCCGCAAGUGGCAGAAGCUGGAUCCUGUCCCAGGUCUGCGUGACAAUCAGAGCAUCCCCCACACGGGAUGACGAGGCAUCUGGCGGGAGACAGGCCAGCGUGCAAGGCAGCAUUUCUCUCCCCCGUGGGUGUAGGCCAGCUGGGGAAGAUUAUUUGCUCACCUGGACCAGUUGGUAUCAGCAAAGACAAAUGUGAGUGUUGAGGGCAAACAACAGAAACUCAACUCCGGCUGCCCAGAAACUCAGAAUCAACAGGAAGGUGGGGAACAAGGCUCAGGAAGUGGUCCGGAGCCGAGAAAGGCCACCAGUCCUCUGGGCAGAGUCCACCCCGGGGGCUGGGCCCUGGACUGCUGCUGCCGCUGGCGCACGCUGCCAUGGCGAAGGGAGUCCGACUCUUCCUGUGCGUGACGUCACCACUUGAGAUUCUGAGUCCUGGAUGGGAGGGUCCCUUUGGCCAAGCCUGGGUCCCUUUGCUCAGGGCUCUGUCCCCAGCUGUAUGAUGACAAGACUGGAUGCAUCAGCCUCUUUACACCACCUCAGACCCUCUGGACCUCAGCUGCCUCCUGCUCCAGCCACCUCUGUGCCUCCGCAAGGACAGGCUCUGUGCUCCUGGAACGAGCACCCCUCGCCUGGGGGCUGCGCGGUCGCCACCUGAGAGAGCGGGGGCAGGAGCGGGUAUCGAGCUUCCUUUCUCCCCCAGGAUGAGCUUGUGCAGCUUCUCAGAGCUCGGGCCCAGGAGGCUGCUGCCAACUGGAUCCGAGCAUCAGCCCUCUGUGGCUCCCUGCUCUCUCCCCCGAUCGCCCCCUCUCCCUGGGCUCACGCUCCCUAACCAGGGUCUCAGACAGAGUCCGGAAGCCGCAGGCUCUGCUCCAGUGACCUGGUCAAGUCAGUGGGUUUAAGAGCCUCUCAGGCCUCUGUUCUGUGAAGGAUGUUCUCUUAAGAAAAAAUGCCAAGACCUGGAUCAUCUCACACCUGGUUUGCAUCUCUGCUUCUUCUCCUCACUGGGUAACUGACUCUCAUUGACCCUUCGUUUCUUCCUCUAUUAAAUGGGGCUGAACCCUUGCAGAAUUGUUCCAAGAGUGAAAUGAAACAAUGCAUCUAAUGCACCCUGCACAAGACCUGGUAUCCAGUAGCUGCUCAAUAAUUUAAAAACAAACACACAAAGACAAG
rnacentral:lncRNA from 1 species